AUUUAAACCAGGGGUAGGCAACCUUUGGCACUCCAGAUGUUGUGGACUGCAUUCCCAUGAUGCUUUGCCAGUAUUACUGUAGUCCACAUCUGGAGUGCCAAAGGUUGCCUACCCCUGAUUUAGAC